rnacentral:pre_miRNA from 2 species
AUAUUACUAUUUCCGUCCGAAAAUACUUGUUAUAGAAAUGGAUGCAUCUAAACAUAUUCUAGUUUUAGAUAUAUUCAUUCUAUCCAUUGAUGCGACAAGUAAUUCCGGACGGAGCGAGUAGUUA